AGGGAGAGGAGUUCGUGCCAGAGGAGGGAGAGGAGUUUUUGUCAGAGGAGGGAGAGGAGCAGGCCAAGGAGGGAGAGGAGCAGGUCAAGGAGGUAGAGGAGCGGGCCAAGGAGGGAGAGGAGCAGGUCAAGGAGGUAGAGGAGCGGGCCAAGGAGGGAGAGGAGCAGGUCAAGGAGGUAGAGGAGCGGGCCAAGGAGGGAGAGGAGCAGGUCAAGGAGGUAGAGGAGCGGGCCAAGGAGGGAGAGGAGCAGGUCAAGGAGGUAGAGGAGCGGGCCAAGGAGGGAGAGGAGCAGGUCAAGGAGGUAGAGGAGCAGGCCAAGGAGGGAGAGGAGAAGGAGGGCGAGCAAGACAACGCAUCUUCAUCACAGAUGAAAUGAGAGCAACGGUCAUUGACCACGUCAUUGUCCACGGCAUGACAAUGACCGAAGCUGGACAACGAGUCCAACCAAACCUAAGCCGAUUCUCAGUGGCCACCAUUAUUCGGGCCUUCAGAGAACACAACAGAGUUGAAAGAUUGCCAUAUGCAGGUGGGAGGGCUUCCAGAUUCACACCAGCCCAAGAGGUCGACAUUGUGGAUAUGGUUCGGGAGAACAAUGUGCUGAGACUACGGGAGAUACGGGAGAGGAUCAUUGGUGACAAUAUGAACUUUCCGAACAUUGACGAUGUUAGCCUGACAACCAUAGACAGAGUCCUCAAGCGCCAGAGAGUACAUCUUCUGGGACAAUGUUAGUUUCCAUCGCAGCAUCCAGGUCAGAGAGUGGUUUAACAUCAACCAGCAAUUUAUUAAUGUGUGUCUGCCACCCUACUCUCCAUUCCUAAACCCAAUAGAAGAGUUCUUCUCAUCAUGGCGGUGGAAGGUCUAUGACCGCCAACCGUACACCAGAGAGAACCUUCUCAGGGCUAUGGACCUGGCCUGUGAUGAUGUGGCUGUGGAGGCGUUCCAAGGCUGGGUGCGGCAUGCCAGGGCAUUCUUCCCACGAUGUUUGGCUAUGGACAAUAUUGCCUGUGACGUGGAUGAGGUACUGUGGCCCGACCCAGUCCGACGACGUGAUGCCGCCCAAUGAUUGCAGUGUCAACAUACUGUGUCAAUUUACAUGUACAACGUAGGCCUAAUAAAAGAGAUCGCACCCUGAA